GCCUCCGUGGUGUAAAGGCUGCUAGCACGUCUGACCCGGCUUGUCACAAGACGUGGGUUCGAAUCCCAUCGGUGGCG